UACGGGGGGAGCAAGCGUUGUUCGGAUUUACUGGGCGUAAAGGGCGCGUAGGCGGUCGUGACAAGUCACUUGUGAAAUCUCCGGGCUUAACUCGGAACGGUCAAGUGAUACUGUCGGACUAGAGUACAGAAGGGGCAACUGGAAUUCUCGGUGUAGCGGUGAAAUGCGUAGAUAUCAAGAGGAACACCUGCGGCGAAGGCGGGUUGCUGGGCCGACACUGACGCUGAGGCGCGAAAGCCAGGGGAGCGAACGGG
rnacentral:rRNA from 1 species